rnacentral:rRNA from 1 species
CCUACGGGGGGCAGCAGUGGGGAAUAUUGGACAAUGGGGGCAACCCUGAUCCAGCCAUGCCGCGUGUGUGAAGAAGGCCCUCGGGUUGUAAAGCACUUUCAGUGAGGAAGAACGCCUGGUGGUUAAUACCCAUCAGGAAAGACAUCACUCACAGAAGAAGCACCGGCUAACUCCGUGCCAGCAGCCGCGGUAAUACGGAGGGUGCGAGCGUUAAUCGGAAUUACUGGGCGUAAAGCGCGCGUAGGUGGCUUGAUAAGCCGGUUGUGAAAGCCCCGGGCUCAACCUGGGAACGGCAUCCGGAACUGUCAAGCUAGAGUGCAGGAGAGGAAGGUAGAAUUCCCGGUGGAGCGGUGAAAUGCGUAGAGAUCGGGAGGAAUACCAGUGGCGAAGGCGGCCUUCUGGACUGACACUGACACUGAGGUGCGAAAGCGUGGGUAGCAAACAGGAUUAGAUACCCCUGUAGUC